CCUACGGGAGGCAGCAGUGGGGAAUAUUGGGCAAUGGAGGAAACUCUGACCCAGCGACGCCGCGUGAGGGAUGAAGGCCUUCGGGUUGUAAACCUCUUUCAGUAGGGAAGAAGCGAAAGUGAUGGUACCUACAGAAGAAGCACCGGCUAACUAUGUGCCAGCAGCCGCGGUAAUACAUAGGGUGCAAGCGUUGUCCGGAAUUAUUGGGCGUAAAGAGCUCGUAGGUGGUUCGAUACGUCGGAUGUGAAAAUCAGGGGCUCAACCCCUGACCUGCAUCCGAUACGGUCGAGCUAGAGUUUGGUAGGGGAGACUGGAAUUCCUGGUGUAGCGGUGGAAUGCGCAGAUAUCAGGAGGAACACCGAUGGCGAAGGCAGGUCUCUGGGCCAAUACUGACACUGAGGAGCGAAAGCGUGGGGAGCGAACAGGAUUAGAUACCCUGGUAGUCCACGCCGUAAACGGUGGGCGCUAGUUGUGCGAACCUUCCACGGUUUGUGCGACGCAGCUAACGCAUUAAGCGCCCCGGCCCUGGGGGAGGUACGAGUCGCAGAAUUAAAACGUUAAAACGGUAAAGUUAGUACGGCGUGAGACGUGCCGACGGACGACGACCGAGGGGAGGUAGGG
rnacentral:rRNA from 1 species